UAUUAUUGUUCUAGGAGGUAUCCAGAGUUCAAACCUGUAUUUAGUACAAAAUUGUUUGCAUUUUAUUCCUCCUUAACCUAAACAAGGAAAAAAGAAAUACAUUUUGGGUGUACCUAGAACCUCAAACCAUUUUAAUCGCAAAAUAACCCUUGAUUUUUUGUGCUAACUUUUUUACCAGAAAUCUUGUUCCGAUGUUCACGUUAAAAUGAAAUUAUUUUAGUAAAAUAUAACACCUAACUCAUAGAUUAAUACUUAGUUAACGACCUAGAUUUAACAGUAAAAUAAUAUAAAAUAUUUUAAUUACCG